rnacentral:pre_miRNA from 1 species
UUUUGAACUAAGCUUACUGGGCAGUAUUCCGCUUGUGUGCUUGACAAUUUAAGUGUAGCACUUUGUAAGGCACGCGGUGAAUGCUAAGCAGUGAGCUAUUAC